AGUACACAUCAGCAUAAAAAGUGCAUUUGGAGAGGACGAAGGAACGCUGGAAUUGACCUCCUCAAACACCAUGAGCAUGCAUGGACAGUAAAAGGCGUUUUUUGCUCUGGAGAUGGAAUGGGAGAGGAAGAACGUCCAUCGAAAUGUGGCCUCGGCAAACACCAAGAGUAAAAGGUGCUCUUUGCUCUGGAGAUGGAAUGGGAGAGGAAGAACGUCCAUCGAAAUGUGGCCUCGGCAAACACCCAAGAGUAAAAGGUGCUCUUUGCUCUGGAGAUGGAAUGGAGAGGAACAACGUCCAUCGAAAUGUGGCCU